CCUACGGGAGGCAGCAGUGAGGAAUAUUGGUCAAUGGACGAGAGCCUGAACCAGCCAUGUCGCGUGAAGGAUGAAGGCUCUAUGGGUUGUAAACUUCUUUUGUAGGGGAGUAAAAGGCGAAACGUGUACCUGGUUGAAUGUAACGUAUGAAUAAGCAUCGGCUAACUCCGUGCCAGCAGCCGCGGUAAUACGGAGGAUCCGAUCGUUAUCCGGAUUUAUUGGGUUUAAAGGGUGCGUAGGCGGUUUAUUAAGUUAGCGGGUAAAGGUGGGGGCUCAACCAUAAAAGUGCCGUUAAAACUGGUUGACUAGAGUAUAGUUGAGGUAGGCGGAAUGUGUGGUGUAGCGGUGAAAUGCUUAGAGAUCACACAGAACUCCGAUUGCGAAGGCAGCUUACCAAACUAUAUCUGACGUUGAAGCACGAAAGCGUGGGUAUCAAACAGGAUUAGAUACCCGUGUAGUC
rnacentral:rRNA from 1 species